rnacentral:rRNA from 1 species
UACAGAGGGUGCGAGCGUUGUCCGGAAUCACUGGGCGUAAAGGGCGCGUAGGUGGUGGCUUAAGCGUGCGGUGAAAGCUCGGGGCUCAACCCCGAGUCGGCCGUGCGAACUGGGCUCACUGGAGCAUAGUAGAGGCAGGUGGAAUUCCGGGUGUAGCGGUGGAAUGCGUAGAGAUCCGGAAGAACACCGGUGGCGAAGGCGGCCUGCUGGGCUAUGGCUGACACUGAGGCGCGACAGCGUGGGGAGGCAAACAGG